AAUAUUGGCACAAUGGGCGCAAGCCUGAUGCAGCCAUGCCGCGUGUAUGAAGAAGGCCUUCGGGUUGUAAAGUACUUUCAGCAGUGAGGAAGUGGGUAUGUUAAUAGCAUAUUCAUUUGACGUUAGCUGCAGAAGAAGCACCGGCUAACUCCGUGCCAGCAGCCGCGGUAAUACGGAGGGUGCGAGCGUUAAUCGGAAUUACUGGGCGUAAAGCGCAUGCAGGUGGUUUGUUAAGUCAGAUGUGAAAGCCCGGGGCUCAACCUCGGAAUUGCAUUUGAAACUGGCAAACUAGAGUACUGUAGAGGGGGUAGAAGUUUCAGGUGUAGCGGUGAAAUGCGUAGAGAUCUGAAGGAAUACCGGUGGCGAAGGCGGCCCCCUGGACAGAUACUGACACUCAGAUGCGAAAGCGUGGGGAGCAAACAGGAUUAGAUACCCUGGUAG
rnacentral:rRNA from 1 species